rnacentral:piRNA from 1 species
UCUCAAGUAUUGUGUUUCAGGACAGGGAG